UAGGGAAUCUUCGGCAAUGGACGAAAGUCUGACCGAGCAACGCCGCGUGAGUGAAGAAGGUUUUCGGAUCGUAAAACUCUGUUGUUAGAGAAGAACAAGGACGUUAGUAACUGAACGUCCCCUGACGGUAUCUAACCAGAAAGCCACGGCUAACUACGUGCCAGCAGCCGCGGUAAUACGGAGGUGGCAAGCGUUGUCCGGAUUUAUUGGGCGUAAAGCGAGCGCAGGCGGUUUCUUAAGUCUGAUGUGAAAGCCCCCGGCUCAACCGGGGAGGGUCAUUGGAAACUGGGAGACUUGAGUGCAGAAGAGGAGAGUUGAAUUCCAUGUGUAGCGGUGAAAUGCGUAGAUAUAUGGAGGAACACCAGUGGCGAAGGCGGCUCUCUGGUCUGUAACUGACGCUGAGGCUCGAAAGCGUGGGGAGCAAACAGG
rnacentral:rRNA from 1 species